GCUGCUAAAAAUGAAAAUGAAAUCAUUAUUGGAAAUUUUGUUUAGGGAUUAGGGAUUACUUGUUGCUGUUUGUAAUGUUUGUUGAAAUUUCAGGUUUAGUGUGAUUAGGGAUUACUUGUUGCUGUUUGGUACUUGCUGCUGCUGUUUUAGUGUUUUUUAACUUUUGAAUCACUUGUUUUUGAAUUUUUGUUGAUAGAUUUAUCAAUUUUAGUAUUUAGGGUGAUUAUUUGUUGCUGUAUUUUAAUUUUAGUUGCUGAUUGUUCUUGAUUUCUAGCUCUUUUUAGUAUAUUGUGCUGAUUGUUCUUGAUUUCUGGCUGUGUGAAUGUUCUGAUUUCUGGCUCUCUGAGUGUUGUUUUAUUUUUGUUUUAAGGCCCUAUUUUGUGCUCAGUUUUCAUUUUGUAGGAAAUUGUUUGAGGUAUUAAGAAUUAAGAAGGAAGAUUAUCCCAACAGCUACUCUAUUGAUUGAUUCUAGUCCCCCACAAGCUUGAAGAGAGGAACCCUUCAUCAUUGUUUGUAGGAAUUCAGA